rnacentral:rRNA from 1 species
UCAAACGAGAGUUUGAUCCUGGCUCAGAAUCAACGCUGGCGGCGUGCCUAACACAUGCAAGUCGAACGAGAAAGGGGAGCAAUCCCUGAGUAAAGUGGCGACCGGGUGAGUAACACGUGACUAACCUGCCCUUGAGUGGGGGAUAACCUCGGGAAACCGGGGCUAAUACCG